UUUCAAAAUUAGAAUUUCUUCACACGCUUAAGCUAAUUAUUAUUACGUAUUAAACUUACAUCUAAUUCUUAUAAUAAUCAUAAUCUUCAUAGGUACUUAAAUACUUUAAUUGAGAAUUAUAAUAAUCGUUCAUUAUGCUCCAAGCUAAAUUUUUUAAUUAAUUGCUUGCUUAUUCAUUCAAUAUUACACGUGGUUAACUAUUUACACGUAUUCAACUCGCUUCGACCGCUCGGCCGCUCGGACAAAAAACCGGUUCCUUAUCGCUAGCGACGUAGUUCUCAUACCUAUCUUGCAGUCAAUUAGCAUCGUAAUAAUAUAAUAUGAAUGCAUCAAAUAGGUAACUACUCAUCACGCGCGGCUUUUUAGCUGUUUUUCUAUUAAGAUAGACAUAUAUUUAAGCUAUAUAGUAAUAGUUUAGAUUUUUAUACACUACAGAAUGCUUUUUAGUGUUUAUAAUUUUAUAUUUUACGCUUUUAUAAAUAAUAAAACACUGUGAUAGCUCUAAGCAUAGUCAACACUAGCAUUUAACAUUUAAGAAUUUAAAUUUUAAAUAUUUUAUGCACAUCAUUAGAGAACUUAUAUGGUUCUAGCUUUUAGCUUAGUUUUUAUUUAGAGUAUUGUUUUAAAUACAUUUUUCUAAAUUAUACCUAUUAAGCUGCAGCAAGUAGUUAACAUUUGUCGAUUGAUUACUUGAGUAAAUAAUUAAUCGUUAAAUUAAUUUAAAUUAUCUUUAAUUUGAGAUUUUUUAAUUUAUUGUUUUUAUACUUUUUUUUUAUUCUAAAAAUGGGUGAUGCAAAAAUAAAAGAAUUGACAAAACUUCGCGGUAGUGUUAAGGGGAAGCUAACAAUUUUUCAAAAUUAUUUAAACAGCUUUGAUGAUAGUAAUCAUGAUGAUUUAACUGAAAAUCAAGUUAAUGAGCUUGAGUGCCGGUUAAAUAAAGUAGACAGCUUGCAUGUUGAAUUCGAUAAAUUUCAGACGGAACUCGAAAUGUUAUCAGAAGAUCCAAGUCAACUAUUUUCUGAGCGUGAGGAAUUUGACCAAAAGUAUUUUUCAUUGGUAGCAUCCGCAAGAACAAUUAUGAACAGGAGCAGACGUCAACUGCAUCGGAGACUUUCUGUGUCCGAGACUAGUGAAGGGAGCGUAAGCAGAGAUGGAGGGUUUCGAGAUUUCGUUCGUUUACCUAAAAUCUCCCUUCCCUUCUUCAAUGGUGAAAAAAUGGAAAAUUGGCUGGAGUUCAGAGAUACCUACCUGUCUCUAAUUCAUAAUUGUUCAACCAUUGGUAAUAUCAAUAAAUUUCACUAUUUAAGAGCAGCAUUAAAAGGCAGUGCCUUAACUGUAAUACAAAGUCUUGAAUUCACAGCAAAAAAUUAUGACGUUGCUUGGCAAUUGCUUUCUAGUAGGUACCAUAACGAACGCAUUUUAGUAAAUAUACAUGUUAACGCUUUAUUAAAUUUCACACAAAUUCAAAAAGAGUCUGGUAAAAUAUUAAGAAAUUUAGUCGAUACCGUUAAUCGAAAUUUAUGUGCAUUAAAUAGUUUAGGUCAACCCACCGAUCAUUGGGAUACCUUAAUAAUACAUUUAAUGAGUAGAAAGUUAGACAGUGUCACCUUUCGUCACUGGGAGGAACACCGGAAUUCAAUAACGACUUCACCAACAUUAAAACAAUUUUUAACUUUUUUAACAAAUCGAGCAGACUUGUUAGAUACAAUACAGUUGGAAGAUACAAAAAGAGAAGAUACAUCACAAUUAAAUAAUUUCACACAAAACACAAAAAACACAAUUUACAACAAAACAAAAAACACAAAAAAUGUAAUUUCAUGUCCUAUGUGUAAACAAAAUCAUUUUUUAUUUAGCUGUGCGGAAUUUCGAAAGUUAAGUGUUAAUACACGGUUAGAAAAAGUAAAAGAUUUCGCAGUCUGUAAAAAUUGCUUACGGCCUGGACACAAAGACAGAUUCUGUCGAUUAACUCACUGCAAAUAUUGUAAUUUGAAGCACAGUAGUCUUCUACACAAAGAUACUGAACAGGAAACUGUCGUAGCUUUGUCGUCGUCUAUAACAGCUAGUGACAAGCCUCUUACAUUACUUUCCACAGCCUUGGUGAACGUGGUCGGCGUGGACGGCAGAUUGCACACCGCACGCGCUCUUCUCGACAAUGGUGCUACUGCGCACUAUGUCACACAACACCUCUGUGAGAAGCUGGGUUUGGCACGAAAAAACGUAAGCUCCACUGUGACAGAUAACCAACACAUUGCCGCCUUGCAACAUAAAUAGAAGGUCUUUAAAAAUACCUUCUCAUAUUCAGCUAGCCGAUCCAUCAUUCCACAUUUCGUCAACCAUUGACAUCUUGAUUGGAGCUGAUGUCUUCUGGGACGUGAUGUGUUCAGAUUUCAUCGAUCUCGACGCAUCAGAGCGCGCUUACGGAACGUGUAUCUACGUAAGAACGGUCGACGCAAACGGCACUGUACAUAUUCGCCUUCUAGCUUCUAGAAAUAAAGUGGCACCUCUAAAACCUACCACAAUACCCAGACUGGAGCUUUGUGGUGCGGUUUUAGCCACAAGACUUCAUGCUAAAGUGAUUUCAUCACUGACACUUAAGUUAAGGCUGUACACUUGGAGCUCGUCACAGACCUUACUAAAGAGGCCUUCCUCGCUGCAUUCUUUAGGUUUAUCAGUCGCCAUGGAAAGCCAUUGACUGUGACGUCAGAUAACUCCACAACGUUCCUUGGAGCCAGUAACGAUAUAUCCAACUUUUUCACACAUCUGUCCGAAGACAUUAAAGCUGAUUUGAGUACCCAUGGAAUUAAUUUUAAAACCAUACCUCCUUAUACUCCUCAUAUGGGCGGACUAUGGGAGAGCGCGGUCAAAUCGGUAAAGCAUCAUUUAAAGCGGAUUUUAAAUUUAACACACUUAACCUAUGAGGAGAUGGCAACAUGCCUUGCUCAAAUUGAAGCUAUCCUUAAUUCCAGACCGCUGACACCUCUUUCUUCCGAUCCUUCAGACCUCUCAUGUUUAACUCCAGCUCACUUUCUAAUUGGACGACCACUUUUAUCUGUUCCUCGUCCUCCUGUCAGCGACGCCAAGCUCAGCGCCUUGGACCGCUACCAGAGGAUUGAGAAGCUGAAGCAACACUUCUGGGAUCGGUUCUCAAUAGAAUAUAUAUCUCUUCUUCAGCAACGUACCCGAUGGCAGUCAGCGAGUCCGGAUUUGCAGCUGGGCAGCUUGGUUCUUAUUAAGGAAAGGGGCCAGCCGCCUCUUCUGUGGUUGCUCGGACGAAUAGUCAAGUUGCACUCGGGCAGAGACGGAGUUUCGCGAGUAGCCGAGAUCCAGACCAGGAGAGGCCUAAUCACUCGGGCCUAUAAUAACAUCUGCCCACUGCCUAUUUGACAGCCUCGGCUUGGGCGGGCAGGAUGUCCAAGCGGACGACUACGCGGGUUGCGGGGCGCGGGGACUCCGCGCCGGCCCGUCGUGCCAGCGACCGACGCGCAAACACUUCGAAAUUGACUCGCACGGACUGUGUGCGCAUACAUAAUACAUAUUGUUGUUUGGUCUUUUAUAAAAUUAAAAUAAAAUUCACAA